ACAAUGAUUCAAUGCUCAAAACCUUGAAUUUUUUUUUUGGUACAAUAUGUAAUGCAUCAUGUAUACCUCCCACUAAAAAACACAGAGACAUCUGAUUAAGGUUUCUCGAGCUCAUCAAAUCUCAUAUUUCAAAAUUUUAAUCUGUUUUCUCUCUGGCAAUUCAAGAAGAUCAACGAAGAUUUCACCAGAUCAAUGAAGGUUUCGACAACCUAAACCACAAUCGCAUCUCUACCGUCGCACAAUCCGCUCAAAUGAAUUUCGGCGACUCAAUUUGUGCUCCAAUCAUUCAACUACUGACGUAAUAGAGUGGAUUGAAGCAUAUUCAGAGACAGGAGCCUCAGUAGCUGCUACUUCAGGUUUUGCAAGCUCAUGGUCAUGGGGCCGUCGGCAUCUCAACGACAAUCAGUCUUCUAUUUCGUUUGGAUCUGGAGCUUAUUGCAAUCAAUAGUCCAUGGCAGAUUCAAGGCGAUUAUUGUUGUUUAGGGUUUGAUAUGGCGGUUUUUUUUUUUUUUUUUUUUUUUUUUUUUUUGUGAUUUUAAGACUGGAGUUAUUGUUUGGGGCUGAUUUAAGAACCAAUUGUCAAGGUGAGGUUUAUAUUUAAGUUCAUUAUAUUUCUGAUUACUCUUAAGUGUUUAAAGUGAUCAAAGGAUAUUUUUUUGUGUUAAUUUUACUGGUCUGUCGAAAGCUCACAGGAACAAAAAGGGAAUUCAAUAAAAAAAUUAGGUAGUUGUUUGUUUAACAGGAUGUAUAAUUUUUUUUCUUUUUAUCUUUUCAGCAAAUAGGACUUUUAAUCACAAAAUCAUGAUUUUAUUUUACCAAGAAUUAAGGUGAUAUUACUAUAUUAGUGAUGUGCCGUUUCAAGGCGUACGAUGAAUGCAAGUGAGUGUGUAUCCAAAGGUUGUGCUUUGGAGUGUGCUAUAAUUGGAGCUAUUCAUAUGACAACAUUGGCUAAUUAGUGUUUUAAUAUAUGAAUAGCUCAAGUUUUUAGGGCUACAAGUAGAUGCCAUUUUUGCCUUGUAAUAUUGUUUAGUUUGGUAUUUUGGCCUAAAUUAUGUACAUGUGUAAUAAUAGUAAGUGACUGAAAAUCAAUAUUUUUUAUAGGUCUACAAAAUAGCACUGCUUUCUUAUUCUUAAUAUGAUGCCCUUCUCAUGUAGGCUGUGGUUUUUUGGAUUUUGACUUGCUUGUCUACAAAUCCUGCAGUUGCUAGCCAGACAAGCAAGGAGGAGGUGGGUACAAGCUUCUGAUAUAAUAGACACACCCGCCGCAACGCACGGGCAUUCCC